GACGAACGCUGGCGGCGUGCUUAACACAUGCAAGUCGAACGGAAAGGCCCUGCUUGCCGGGUGCUCGAGUGGCGAACGGGUGAGUAACACGUGGGUGAUCUGCCCCUUACUUUGGGAUAAGCCUGGGAAACUGGGUCUAAUACUGGAUAGGACCAUGCUGUAGGUGGUGUGGUGGAAAGAUUUUUUUCGGUAAGGGAUGAGCUCGCGGCCUAUCAGCUUGUUGGUGGGGUAAUGGCCUACCAAGGCGUCGACGGGUAGCCGGCCUGAGAGGGUGGACGGCCACAGUGGGACUGAGAUACGGCCCAGACUCCGACGGGAGGCAGCAGUGGGGAAUAUUGCACAAUGGGCGCAAGCCUGAUGCAGCGACGCCGCGUGGGGGAUGACGGCCUUCGGGUUGUAAACUCCUUUCAGCCAUGACGAAGCCUCUUUUGGGGUGACGGUAGUGGUAGAAGAAGCACCGGCUAACUACGUG
rnacentral:rRNA from 1 species